rnacentral:sRNA from 12 species
CAGCCCUUGCUGAAAAUUAGUCGUUCUGGGCUGGCUUAGUAGGUUUAUCUCGAAAAGCUGGUAGGCAAAUAUAAG